UAUUCCAACCAUAUAUUUUAUAUCUUUCCUUUCUAAUCUUGCUACACUUGUCCAAAAUGCUCUUUAUGAGACUUAACCAGAGAAUAAAGUUUCUGCUGGGUUUUUUGAGACUUCCUUUGUCUAUGCAAUUAAUAUAAAUCUCUUUACCUUAACCUCAGGUAGACUCUUCACACAAGGGCAAAAUGCAGCCACAUUCUUCACCAAAAUACCACAAAACAGACUCUAUGCCACACACUGAAAUUCUCUUCUGAAACCUCUUGGACCGGGUCUGCACAAUUCAAACUACUCACAGCAACAAAGUCUUCCAUAUUCCUACUAUUGUAGCUCAUUAAGCCCAUUACAGCAUUCCACUGCUUUCCAAAUCCAAAGUCCCCAAAUCCACAUUCUUCCCAGCAAAAGCAUGGUCAGGUCUAUCACAGCAAUACCCCAGUCCUUGGUACCAACUUCUGUCUCAGGGUUUUACUGCUGUGAAGAGACACCAUGACCAAGGCAACUCUUAUAAAGGACAACAUUUAAUUGGGGCUGGCUUACAGGUUCACAGGUUCAGUCCAUCAUCAUCAAGAUGGGAGCAUGGCAGCAUCCAGGCAGGCCUGGUGCAGGAGGAGCUGAGAGUUCUACAUCUUCAUCUGAAGGCUGCUGGUGGAGGACUCACUUCCAGGCAACUAGGGUGAGGGUCUCAAGCCCACACCCACAGUGACACGCCUACUCCAACAGGGCCACACUUCCUAAUAGUGCCACUCUCUGGGCCAAGCAUGUACAAACCGUCACAUUCAUUGUGUGGUUUCUAUUCAUUUAUUUGAAAAAGAAAUGGACCUUCAAAAGACAAUGUGUGCCCUCUAAAGUAUUCAGACAUAGUGGGGGGAGCUCGAGGAAAUUGAGGUGUUUAGUCUUGGCUCUUGAGUUUGUGAUUGUCAGAAACAUUACAAAACUAGCUCAUGCUAAUGUCAGAUAUCGAAGUAGCUCAGAACAUGUUGAAGCAAUGAGAGUCUUUGUGGCCCAGCAAGUAUGAUGAGAAUUAACAGUCAUCACCCCUGGAUUCUGAAAUCUCAGCUCCCAGGGGAAGGAGGGAGCCCUGUUUAUAGAUAGGGGCUUUCUCCUUUAUGACCAGGGUAUUCUUGUCAUCUGCUGAUGGGAAUGUCUGCAAAGUUUGCUAAUAAGCUUUCUGCCUAGUGACAAGCAGAAUGAUCUUUUCUGCAUGCAAAACAUGCCAUUUGGGGCUGGGGAUUUAGCUCAGUGGUAGAGCGCUUACCUAGGAAGCGCAAGGCCCUGGGUUCGGUCCCCAGCUCCGAAAAAAAGAACCAAAAAAAAAAAAAACCAUGCCAUUUCUGGACUCAGAGCGCCCUGUACUCUUCAUGAGUAAGUCACAUGUGAUUCUUUCCACUUUCAAAAUGUCUGUUCCCACCACACCUAUUCUGUGACUUGACUGAGCUAUUUUUUUUUGAUAAUACUUUUGUCCCUGUCCAGACCUAUAGUAUCAAAUUCUUUCAUGACAAGGGCCUGGGACUCUUCAUCUUGGAAUGAAUGUAUCUGUUGUCUCUUAGGAGGACUGACAUUUAUCCCAUCCUAAGGCUACUUCCCUCACAGGUCAGGUUUAAAAUGACUGGCCAGGGCUCAGGCUGAACACUCUGUUUGGAUUUAUGCCUCUGAGAGUCCUCACAUAAAAUAAAUAAAUUCCAGGGUGGGGAUGUGGCUUAGUCAGCAGAGUGUUGCCCCGGCAAACCAAAAGACUGGAUGCCAAAACCCAGAGCCUACUUAGAGAAGCCAGUUGCAGUGGCGCAUGCCUUUAACCCCAGUAGUGUGUGCCUAUAACCCCAGUGGUGAUGCCAGUAACCCCAACGGUACAUGCCUGUAACCCCAGUGGUGCUUGCCUGUUACCCCAGUGGUGCUUGCCUAUAACCAUAGGCUGCAGAGGCUGCAAUGGGGUGCGCUUAUAAACCAGUUGUGCAUACUUAUAACCCAGUAAUGCAUGCUUGCCAGUAGUCCCAGGGGCUGCAGUGGUGUGUGGCUGUAACCCCGGUGGUGCAUGCCUGUAAUCCCAGGGCCAGAGGAGCAGAGGCAGGUUUAUCCUUAGGGCUUGCUGGAAAGGCAGCCUCGUCUCACGGCGAACUCCAGGUCAGUGAGAAGGUCUGUGUGGAAAACUGAUGAGCAGCAUUAGAGAGUGUCCUCUGGCCUCCACAUGUAUACACACGUAUGUGGGCCCACACAAACAUGCACCCACACAUUUGAAAACGUGUGAAUAAAACACUUUUUACUCUUUUAUCAGUUUCAGAGCACACUUCCUCCGUGAAACAUUUACCAUCAUCCUUUGCUCUCUGCAAUCCCUCCAACUACGCACUCAGCCACACACUCCUUCUCCCUUUCAACAUCUUGAGCUGCCUCUCUGCCAGGAACUUCACUUCAUGGACUUUCCCACACUUGCCCCUUUGUCCUGCCACUCCAAUAUGUGGGCUCCUCUAAAAGACAGGAGCCUCGCACAACUUGUCCCCUGAGAGGCUCUAUCCAGCAACUGACUGAAACAGAUAUAAACACCCACAGCCAAACACUGUAUGGAAGUCAAAGACUCUUAUGAAAGAGUUGGAGGGCGGAAAACUCUGAAGGAGAUAGGCACUCCACAGGAAGACCAACAGUCAGCUAACAUGGACCUCUGGGAGCUUCGAGAGACUGAGCCACCAAGCAAAGAGCAUACACGAGCUGGACCAAGGCCCCGAGGACAGGCAGGCAGCUCAAUCUCCAUGUGUGUUCCCCAAAUAACUGGAGCUGGGGCUCUCCCUAGAGCUGUUGCCUGACUGGAAUCUGUUUCCCAACAGGGUUGCUUCAUUUGGCCUCAGUGGGAGAAGACACUAACUCCCCACAGACUUGAUGUUGCACCAGAGUGAAGGACUACCUAGGGGGAGGGGCCCACUCUCUCAGAGGAGAGGAGGAGGAGGAAAGGGGGAGGAACUCUUGGUGGGGGACUGAGAGGAAGGAGCAGUGUUUGGGAUGUAAACAAACAAACAAACAAACAAAUAAGAGGGAGAAAAGAGAAAGUCUACAUGUUGGUCUCACUUACAUCACCCUGGCAGGGUUGCUAUGUUGAUCAGGCUGGCUUUGAACUCUUAGAUCUGCCUGCCUCCACCUUCCAAGUGCUAAGAUUAAAGGCACAUGUUACUACAUCACCCCUGCUCCCAUCCAGGAAAUUUUAAAGAUUGUGGUUUAAUUUGAAGGAGUGACUACUUCUAAAAUGCUAGAAAUAAUGUACUCUACAUAUCUACAUCCGACAAGUCAUUCAUACCUCCAAUGUUUAAAAGUUUAAAGUCUUAUACUGCUUAUAAAAAUUCUUUUUAGGAAGAUACGAGAUUUUCUUUUAAGAGUGAGGAGUAUUUCUCCCGGGAACUCACAGUGUAGACAUUCACAAUGCUGGUUUUAUAGUUACCCUCUUUACAAAACUCUCACUCCAUCUAUCCUCAAAGUCCAUACCACACAUAAUCAAAGACUAUUAUCUCAAAGUCAGAAAGGACUAGCUAGAUACAACAAAACAGAAGAAUGAUUAAAAUAAUGGAGACAUAUCUGCUGAGUGGAAAAUUAUCCUUUAUAUAAUGUUGAGGUUUGGUCUGUUGCUUUGUAUUGUGAUGCUAACUGCAGGCCCUAAGGCCUAGUUCCCCCAGAGAUGAGACAGUCCACGUGUAGACCCAAAUGAUAUGUGACCUUGUCCCCAAGUUAUUUUAGAUGCUGACAGCCUGGGCAGAAUUGAGAUAGGCGGGGCUUGGUGUUUCUGGCUUUGGGGUUGCAGGAGACUAUGAGGAGGAGAGAAGAAGGAGAAGGAAGAGAGGAGAAGCCAGCAAGGAAUAAGAAUCUUAAAAUAAUGGCCAUGUGCUUGGUGAAUUGGUGUAAGAGCAGCCCAGAUAAAACGUAGCAAAUUAUAUAAUGGGAUUUUUAGCUGGGAAAUAAACAUCAUAGCAUAGAGCAUAGAUAUCUGCCCAGUUCUAAGGCUGAUUACAGUGCUGAUUAAGGCUUAUUAUACAUAUAAAAGUUGUGUGUUUUUUUACCUGGGAAUUAAAUGGCCAAAGACAGGAUAGAAACACAGGAUUGAGAUUAGAUAUUUUCAAUAACAAUAUAAUGUUAAGGCAUCUUUUUAAAAUCUAGAUUACUAGAUUAUAAUGAUGCUUUUGAUGAUAAUAUGGUAUGGGUGUAGAUAUGGGCACACAUGUGAACAUGUAGGUUGAAGUCUGGUGUCUACACACAGAGCCUAUGGCUGGGGAGGAAAAAUGCACCCAGAUAGGUAAAGAGUAAGAUAUACGUGGAGGGGAGGGCGCAUGGUGGAGCCCUCCUCCACUGCAUCAGAGGGAGGGACAGUGGUGCAGGCAGGAAAGGUCUCAGGGAAAGGUCAGAAUUGGGCAGUAAGAGGAAGGAACUGAUACUUGAUGAAUAUCAAGUGGAGGAAAAGGGUUGGAAGGGGCAACCACAGGAACAGAGGCGAGGAAGCGACAAACAAUAAGAGGCACAGCAGCCAAAGGCAUGCUGCCCACGCUAUCGGAGCAGUGGGUGGGGAGAGCAUCAAUUCCCCAUCCACCCCACCUUCUUCUUGCUCUUGUUCGCCUUUUUGUCCAUCCAAUACCGUCCGUGGACCUCUGCUUGAACAGAAUUAUCGAAGGAGUUGGGAGCAAUCAAUUCAUGGUGGGUAAGACGCAUAUGGUGUUACUAUGACACAUCGUAAUGGAAAGUGAAAAAUGGAUGGACCGAAGGACGAAUGCAAUGGUCUCCGGGAGAGAUACUGUUUAAGCAUGGAUUUUCAUGAUGGGGUGAGCAACCUGAAUCCUCUGAGGAAAGGUCAACAUGGGGUGUGUCCAGAAUGCUCAGAAACACCAAACAUACUAGCGGAGACCCAGCUCAGCACUAGGAAAACACGUGGAAGGAAUCCAGACCAAAGGUAAGCACACACUGUAAGUCAUGGUCAGCCUUCAGGGUUAUUUUUAGGAAAUCUCUAAAAAUCUGCAGGAAAAUAUGAUUGAUGCAUUCUUCCUGGUUCAGUGGCUUCCUUACCUCUGGACUCUCAGGGCUCAGGAUGCCCUUGCUUGCUUGUUCAUUCAAGUGCCUGGCAUGGUCUCAGUCUAGGCAAGGUGUCAACCACAUACACGGAUCAUUAAAAACAAGGUUUCCGGGAACCAUAGCAAGUUCCAACCAGCAGGGGCUUUCUCAGCCAAACUCUUAGUUAUCCAGAUGAGGAAAUCAAGUCCCUUCUGUUAAGCAAACAAGUCCAAGUGCCUCUCGUGUGAAAUGAGGGCUAUUUAGGAGUAACGAUAAUUUCAGAAAGACUUAAGCCAAAAGUAGAUGAAUAAUGACUAUCAGCUUAUGAUACAAGUCCCUGUAAGAUACAGGCUUCAAACACCAGAUGGAAAUUUUUUGGGCAAAAGGCUUGUUGCCAUGAUGUAGAGUAAACUUCUAGACAAUUAUGAAAUAGUCAAUCUAUGCAACAAAAGAAGGUAGCAUGUGUCUGUACUCCUCACAAAAAUCUACACAAGUCCCUUUGAGUCACUUGUGGGAGAUAAGAACAGAUGAAAGAUAUUUUACUUCAAAAACUGCUGAAGUCCUUGUCAAAGACAAACAUUGGUAUAUUUGUGUAAUUCCUAUCUAACUGAUUAAUGGAAAGUUGAGAUUGGUUUGAAAAACAAAAGUCAGUCUAUUAAGGCAACAUGAAGUGAAAAUUACCACAAAGGGACCAAAGAAUAUCAUGAGGGACUUAGGUUUUCUGAUCUAAUAUUCUCUUUGUAAAUAUGAGAGCACACCGGGCUGGGUGUCAUUCCGGGUUCAGAGCAAACAGGGCUGUUUGCUAAAUCAUCUGCCUAGAGGUUAUUCCAGACAGCUGACGGUGUGUCUGGUCAUAUAAACUAGAGGUGAUUUAAGAAACAAACUUCUCCAGAAGUUUGUAUACUACAUUUUUAAGUACAGGGGGACACAAUCAUACAUUCUUUAGUAGACCAAUAAAUAAGCUGCAAUACUAAAACAUGAAGGAAAUUCAUUGAAAAAAUAAGGAUUUGAAAUCCAUUAUGAAACCAAAUGCUAAACCCUGGAUCUGAAAUUUGGUUACACAACAGGAUAUUAAAUUAUAAAAGUACCCUCCCAUAACAUUUAUUUUACAAAGAAAAUAGUAGCUUCCCAGUGAAGAAACACGGCUAAGACCACGGACAUUGCUAACACCAUCAUUACCAAUAAGAGCACACACCUCCAUGUUCUGGCAAGACUCUCUAGGAACGUCACAUUGAUUCUGACAUUCCUUCUCACAUGUAUCAGCUGAAGUUCAUCACGAGGAAACAUGCGCACCAAACUGAGGGUCAGUGUAAGAGUUCUGAAUUCUUGAAAAGUGUCUGGCACACAAAAUAUGAAGAAAGACAAAGACUUGCCCCCAGGUGAAAGGCAAGUAAAGAAGUGUGACCCACAAAUGGGACUUGGGAUUUUCAGAGCCGAUUCUGCCCCAGACGGAGGAAGGGACAUUUAAAGGCAUUACUGAGACCAUGAAGAAGGUCGGAAGGAGUUCUCAUUGUCUAGUAGAAUUACACAUCAAUUUCCUAAUCUGCAUGGUUAUGAUUAUUACAUAAGGCUUCAUCCCCAAUGUUUAGAAAGGGUGCAAUGAAGGAUUUAAAUGGGAAUGGUAUCUUAGUUUCUUGUUUGCUGUGAUAAAAAUACUCUGACAAAACCAACCUGAGAGAAGUCACUUGACUUAGAGCAUAAACCAAACUUACAGUUUGUCUUAUUUUGUUGUGACAAGACAGUGACCAAAACCAACUUGGGGAAGAAAGGGUUUAUUUGCCUUACAUCUGAUCAUGGUCUGUCACUGAUGAAAGCCAAGGCAGGAGCAUAAGCAGAACAUUGCUGAUGUGAGUAAUGAUACACGGAGAUGAGAGCCUAACAUAACUGACAGGCUCUGCCCAGCAGCAGACUGAAACAGAGGCAGAUACCCACAGCCAAUAUGAAAUGGAGGUCAGAAGCAUUUAUGGGAAAGAUGGGGGAAGGAUUGAAGGCCCUGAAGUAGAUGGGAACCCCACAGGAGGACCAAAAGAGUCAAUAAUCCUCCACCCCUGGGAGCUCUGAGUCUAUGCCACCAACUAAUGGACAUGGCAGUCUUCAUGGCUGCCUUGUCUGGCCUCAGUGGGAAAAGAUGUGCUUAAUCAGGCUGAGACUUAAGAUGCCAGAACUAGGAGAAACAGAGGUGGCCACGCCCCACCUUCUCAGAGGAGAAGGGGAGGGGGAAAUAAGGGAAAGGACCUCUGUGAGGGAGAGUCUGGGAGGGGGAACAGUGGGAUGUUAACUAAUAAAACAACAACAACAACAACAAUAACAACUGCAGCUGAGAUUAUAGCAGAAUGCUGCUUGUUGGCUUGCUGGCUUUGCUCAGCCUGCUUUCCUGUAAGACGCAGGACCACCUGCUCAGGGGCAGGACUUCCUACAUAGAGCUGGACCCUCCCAUAUCAGUCAUCAAUCAAGAAAAAAAUCCCCACAGACUAGCCUAUGGGCUAAUCUGCUGAAAACACUUUCUCAGUUGAGGUUUCCCUUUUCACAGAUGAUUCUAUGUUGUGUCAAGCUGAUAAAAAAAAAUUACUGGCACAUAGACAGUCUGCCACAGUGGGAAGUCAUAGUGGUAGGAGCCUGAGGGAGCUGGUUACAUUUUAUCUAUGAUCAGAAACAGAGAACAAAGAAUAUAAACAGGCUUCUUUGUACUCAAUCACUUUCUGCAGGAUACCACUGUUCAGCAUCCCCUGACUAGGGAAUGGGACCACCCACACUGAGUGGGUCUUCCCAUCUCAAUUAAUGUAAUCAAAACAGUUCCCCACAGAUGGACACACAGACCAACUUAGUCUAGACAAGUUGAGAUUUUCUCAUUGAGAUUUUCGUUCCAAGAGACUCUAGAUGGUAUCAAUUAGAUACUUUAAACAUCACAACUCUACCCCCUGUCAACUUUGCACACAACUUCACACUUUAAGCCAUAACCUUCUACCCACUGUUCCAGAAGUCUUGUGCUUGUCUCAUAGUGUAUAACACAGUACACUUUUAGUCCCCAUGGUCUUAAAACUUCCAAUUUUAAAAACCUGAAGUCUGUUAACUCUGAGCUCCUAUGGAAACCAAACCAUGUUUUAGACUUCCAACAUAUAAUGGCACAGAAUAAACCUUUCCAUCUCUAAAAAGAAAGAGUUGGAACAUAACAAAGGGCGAUCAAAUCAAUACAACAUCCACAGCUCUGUACCUGACAUCUAAGGUUUGUAAUGGAGUCAACUGGCCUCCACAAACUCGGGCAGCCUUACUCCUUAAGCCCCACCAUCUGAGGAAUAAGAAGUUCCUCAGGCUAGCUCUACUCAGCCUGCCAUUCUUCUUGGCAUAUAUCCCAUAGUCCUGGCAUCCCCAGUAUCCUGGGGUCGUCACUGCAACUGAGACUUCUUCUUCACAGCUUUACUCAACAGCCUUUUGGGAUCUCUCCAUGGGACUCCAAAUCCUGUCACACAUAGCCUGGCCUCAGCUGCUCUCUAGGUCCCCUCAAUCCUGUAUCUUUUAUCUUUAAAAGCAGAACUACAUGACUGAUAUUUACUGCCAAGUUCUGUUACCAGCUCAAGGUAUAUCCAGGCCCCCAAGGACCACAGCUAUAUCAAUUUCUGUAUGAUAACUCCUGGGAAACAGUGCUAGACAGCUGCUUUUAAGACAUAACAUACCACUUUAACUUGAGGGGUUUUUAUAUUUUAUUUUAUUUUGAGUGUAUGUGUGUGUGUGUGUGUGUGUGUGUGUGUGUGUGUGUGUGUGUGUGGUUUUGCCUUUGUGUACAUCUGCACACCAUGUGCAUGCCUGAUACCAUAGAGACUAGAAAAGAACAUCAGAUCCCCUAGAACUGGAAUUAGAAAAAAAUGUGAGCCAUGUAGGUGCUAAGUAUCAAACCCAGGUCCUCUGGAAGAGCAAUCAGUGCUCUUAACUGCUAGUUAUCUCUCCAGCCCAAGCUUCCUUCCUUAAAAUAAAAGUGUCUCUUCACAAGAGGGAACCUCCUUCAAAGGACAGGGUUUUGCCCUCAGGAUGCUUUUCCAUUCUACCAGUGUCGUGAGAGUGGUUUCUCUACAAUUUGUCUCUCUGUCAGUUACAGCCACCAGUCUAAAUACCUUUCCAUCUUAAAAUUUCCCCUGUCAACAAAAUCAGUCCAUUAUCUUUAAACUAAGCACUCAGGUGUUCAAGACCUGGACAAACUGAAGCCAGGUUUUUAGCCAAAACAGGAUACAAAUAGCUCCUCUCCCAGUUCCUGAUACAGUCCUUGACCCCUCUGAAACUUCAUGGUCUUGGCCUCUUUAUUGCCCAAAAUUUUCUCAGCAUCUCGUAGAAGGACCCAUUAUGCUCUGUUUCCAGUAGUCGAUUGCUUUUCUAGUUCUGAACUCUUCCACAUUUUCCCCACAGAACUGUCCCAAAAGUCUGAAAGCCAAAUCAAUUUAUAUACAACAAUGGUCCCACUUCUUAGUGCCCAUUUUUAGUUCAAUGCCCUUUCCUAUAGCUGUGAUAAAAUAUCCCAAAAAAUCUUAAAAAAAAUAUGGGAUAUUUGGGGCUCACAAUUCCAGGGUCUAUUAUUGUGGGAAGUUAAGAAGACAGUAACUUGAAGCGGCUCUACAUUACAUAUGUGGUUAAGAACAAAGACCACGGAAUUAAUGAAAGCAUGCUAGUACUAGCUUGCUCUCUCUACUCUUACACAGUUCAAGAUCUCCUGCCCAGGGAAGGGAGCCACUAACAGUGAGCAGGUCUUCCCACCUCAAUUAAUACAACCAAAACAAUCCACAGAUAUUUCCACAGGACCAUCUGAGCUAGACAAUUCCUCACUGCGACAGUUUUCUCUGGUGAGUCUAGAUUUUUGUCAAGUAGACAGUUGAAAGAAAUAAUCACAAAUGGGAUGUCUACUUACUCUUAGCUCAGAAAGGCAUAACUUGUGUAUAUGCAGGGGUUCUCGAUCUGUGGGUCAUAACCCCCACAGGGGUUACAUAUCAGACAUUUGGCAUAUCAGACACUAUAUUACACUUCACAACAGUAGCAGAAUUAUAGUUAUGAAGUAGCAGAGGAAUAAUGUUAUGGCUGUAGAGCACCCCAACAUGAGGAACUUUGUUAAAGACUCAUAGCAUUAGGAAGGCUGAGAAGCAUGGGUCUAGAGAUGCUGGGGGAAAAUAGAAAAUAGUUGGCAAAACGUUAACCCUAGGGAAACGUAUGACAGUUAUUUGUAUUCUUCUUACAACUUUUUACAAAUCCAAAGUAGUUUAAGAACUUUUUUAUUUACAACUAAACGGUAUGUUAUGUAGAAACAUAAAUCUAUAAAGUAGGUGAAUAAAGAUAAUUAAGAACAUUACAGAAAAAAAAUGUAGGAUCUGAGCGGUGAGGAUAAAAAGAGACGGGGAUAUGUUGGGAGAAUCUCGGAUGAUGAAGGGAUGCUUCUAUUGGUCAUUGCACCUAACACAGCCAGAAAGUGUCCUUCCUUCUGUUAAAUGAGUUAAUAAAAGCAAAGACUCAAUUAAAAUCAAACAAAUUUACCAAUAUUAUAUGAGCACAAGCAAAUUUUCUAGUAUUUAACAAAACACUAUAUUCUCUUUUGAGAACUCAGGAUUUGUUUCUUAUGAUGCACACACAUAUGGACUGGCCAUAUGACUAGAAAGAAAGACCACAGGAGGGGUAUACACAAUGGGAUGCAGAAUGGCAGCUAUGGGAACAUUUACAGCAUCCUAGCACCAGCCAUCUGAAGUCAGGUCAUGUUCUGCCCCUCGGCUUGCCAAGCAGGUGGGACCGUGCUGAACACUUGGAUGCACUUCACAUACUGCAAAUUGCUUUGACAUACAAAAUGUUAUACCCUAAUUUUUGCUUCCUGCAUUUGGAAUCCCUUGAUGCCUCCACCAACUAUGGAAGAAGGAAACUGCUCAGAUGGUAUCGAAUUAGCACUAAGCAUUGAGUGAAAUUCACCACAAAUGUCAGACACAAAGUUAAGUGAUGCAUUUGAAUCCUGAAAUCAUUAAACAAGUGAAUAAAUCCAGCAGCUGCCUCAAAAAAAAAAAGUCUUUCAGAGACUAUAUUCAGCAAGCCGAGACUGGGAACGAUUCAGGAAAAACCCUGACUCGGCCUUUCAAAAAACCAAAUGGUGACAUGAACUGACCACAGCAAUAGACCACAGAAGACACAAUGAUCUUGGUAGCGAUGGGGCUUGGAUAAAAGAGCUCCUUUCUUGUUUACUUCUCUUACAGUCAUUUGUUCAGGCAUAAAAGUUACCUUACAGCUCCAUUGUUUGAAUUGGAUGCCACCUUUCCAGAUAUUAUGUGAAAGCCCUAACUCUCCCAGCAAGGGAUGAGACCUUGUUUAACAAUUAAGGCCUUUACAAUAAUAAUCAAGUGAGGGGGUCAUUGAAGUGAUCCUUAGUCUAACAUGAUUGGUGUCCUUUUGGGUUCAGAGACACAUAGAAACAAGACGGUACAAAAGACACAGGGAAAAGUAAGUCUUCUUCAGGCAACAAGAAAGACCACAGCACAUCUUUUUCUGUAUGACUCCAGAAUGACCCUGGUACUGAUGCCUGCAUCUUAGACUUCCUACCUUAGAGGACAAUGGCUUUCUCUUAGUUAAGCGACUCUGCUUGUGGUACUUUGUCACAGCUGCCUUGAAACUAAUACAGACCCUACAGAAAAGUAAAUCUCAAUACUGGUCUAGUCUAAUAACUCAGUAAUGGGUAAAUACUGCAGAAAUUCCUUUUCACUCCCAUGUAGUGACCUCCUUUGUGAGGUCCAGGAGGUAAAAUUAGACUGAAUCUACAUUUGAAUCAAGGUUCUGUUGUUUACUGACUCUGUUAACACAAGCAAUCUCCCAAACCCUCUGAUUUACUGUUCAAUUAAAUGUGAGAGUGCUCUGUCAUCUCCAACUACAAACACCAUCACUUCCUACUCAAAGGACUGGACUUGGGUCUCGGGAGACAGCUUUGGUAAAGUACAUGCAAGACCUGAAUUUAAUCCCCCAAAGCCAGGCUGCAUGGACUUGUAACCAACACUAGGAAGACAGAGCCAGGCAGAUCUGUGGGGUUCCCUGGCCAGACAUACACACAUAGACACAGCAUACCACACAAACACACACACACACACACACACACACACACACCCCUACCACAUUAAAGGAACUCCUAGAGAACUAUUUUAGAGAUAUUUUAUAGCUAUCUUAGAAAUAGCUCAAGAAAUAUUGACACUCACAGGAUUUGAUGCUGGAAGAGCAUCCUGACUUCUAAAGCAGGAUGACAAGUUGCUAAGGAGAUGCAAAGAAGCUCACUCUGUACGUUACACAGCAAGAAGGUGGUAGUGAGCACUGUUCAAACUAUUCUUGGAACUCAUGGUUUAUUUCUACAAAGAGAAUUUAAUUUUCUAGGCUUCAAAUGUUUUAAGUUAGUGUACUAAAUGAAUACUAUGUUAACACUUUUGAACUUCAGCUUCAAAUUAACUCUGUGUGUGUGUGUGUGUGUCUGUCUGUCUGUCUGUCUGUCUGUCUGUCUGUUUCUCUAUCUGGUCUCUUCAGGGCCUCACUGUAUAGCCAUCUGGAACUUACCAUCUAAGACCAAGCUGGCCACGAACUCACAGAUAUCCACUGUCUUUGCCUUCUGGGUGCUGGGAUUAAAAGUAUGCAUGACCACUCCCAGCCCAGUUUUAAUCUUGUAACAGAAAAUAGUAAAGGUCACAGAAUCACUAUUAUCUUUGAUACCAAUUAGUAAGAUUUGCAUAUUUUCCAUGUUCACAGCCACACUUUGGGGCCUGUAAUCUAUAAGCAAUGAAGACUGCCUCAUGGAGGCAAAGCUCAUAGUAUGUCUUCAGGUUUGGAGGAACAAAACAAAUGGGAAGAAUUUUAGGAGGAAGUGACCAGAACAAGAAAAUCAUGUAAAUAAAUUAUGAAAGUCCUUCAUGAACUAGAUAAUAUUUUCUCUGAAGAAAAAUCGAGAUUAUCACAGUCACACUUUCUAGAAAAUAAUAUAUCCCAUAAAGCCGAGCCAGCUCUAAUAAUAAAAGAGUCAGUAACCAUGUUCAAGUUCAUGAAUGGAAGCUUCUAACAAGUAAAAUGGGAUUGAAGUGACAUCCACUGACUCACACACUUCACUCAUAGCUGCAGUGCCACGCUGAGGUUGAGUGGCCAUCUGCUGGGAUGCUAGAAGCAAAUUUCAGCCUCUCUGAGGGAAGAGGGAAGUUCCAAACCAUGCCCACAGAAUGUCUGACAGCCUUCUGUCAAGGACAGGAGCCUAGUGCCCUUCUUGACCCUGAGAAAUGCCAAAUGCAUGUGUUGACAUGCUCCAAAUGAGGUGUUCAGCACAUGGUGGGACUUCCCAGGAUUCCUGAAACAGUUGGUCAACAUACACCGUGUGAAUGAACUUACCUGGGAGGAGGACCCUUCUGUCCCAGUCAAAUUUCCAAAUACCUACCAAGUGCCCCCUGAGCCCUUGAUCUGAAGUUCUCUAGAACCCAUGGCCCAUAAAAGUUAUAAGGAUGAUGGUUUUUAUUGUUUUAAGACACCGAUUUGGAACAUUAUUUGUUAUUCAGCCAAUAAAUAUUUCAAACAAGAGUCACAUAUGAAAAAGGACGGUUGUAAGGUAGGCUAAGUGGGAAGUUUAGGGACAGCCCUUUGUCAAUCAUUUGAGUGGUCAGAUGUAGUGAAGAGCAAAGAGAGAAGAAAGAGGUGUCAAAAUCUUUGAAAACAUGAAAGGUCAGACCUAAGGAAGACAAAGCCAGGCUGCAUGUGGUAUGCUGUGUGUGUGUAUGUGUGUGUGUGUGUGUGUGUGUGGCCAGGGAACCCCACAGAUCUGCCUGACUCUGUCUUCCUAGUGUUGGUUACAAGUUCAUGUAGCCUGCUUUGGGGGAUUAAAGUGUGGGCUAUGGGACUAUCAGAGUGAUGGAGUAUGCAACAGAGCUAGGCAGCAGCAUGUGGGAACACAGCCUGCAGCUCUCAGGACAGCCAGGCUCGGAGACGGGCGUCCUCUCUGCACAGGUGAAUGUGAGCUCUGAACACGAUGAUGCACAUGUGAGAGAGUGACAUAACGCUUCAGACUCAGGGCUACUUUACAGUUUAAAGGAGUGAGGGAAGGCAGGAGGGAACAAAAAGUUUUAGUCAGAACAGAGUUACCAACUCAAACUAUACCUAUCCAAAGUCCCAAAGGAAAAAAGGAGAAUGUGUGAGGAAGGCAAUAUCAGGAGAGAAAGGGGCUGAGCUUGUCAGAACUAAUGUAAAAUGCCUGCCCAGGAGCACGGCGAGCAGAGCAUCCUCUGAGCGGAAUGCACAGUGGAAACAAAGGCAAGGAACAGACAUGGAGUCUCAGAAGCAACAGUGGGAGUCUGAGAACAAUUGACAAUGAUUUUCAAAACGCUCAGAGUCGAAUAAUUGUCCUCUUAGACGUCGGUCUCCAGCAGAACUGUUUCAAGGACAAGGGCACAAUGAAGACGUUUUAAACUUUAAAAGCUAAGGGAGAUUGAUCUGGAGGCUGGGGAGAAGGGCAAGUGCCUGCCACUUCAGCGCUCAAGAGACACAGGCAGGAGGAUCAGGAAUUCAAGGCCGUUUGGGGAUACAUAGUGAGUUCCUGGCCAGCCUGAGCUAUAUUAUCAAGGCCUUGCCAGAGCAAAACUAAGUAAGUAAAUAAAUUCUAAAGGAAGUUUUGAGACCAGCAAACCUAUACACUAAAGGAAUUCUAGAAGAUGGAUUUCAGACUAUGUCCACAAGAUUAGUUAUCAGGGAAGGAGCAGUAGAAGACACGGCAGAGAAUGUAUAGAGAAUCAAAACCGGUAAGCUAGAAGCGUGAGGCAUGAGCGUUAGAAAUGUAACCCCCUAAAGUGUUCAUGAAUUAGAAAACAUUGGCCUGAAAGUGUCUUGAACAAAGAACACACAGGAUAAACAAGACUAGGUCACCAGCUUUCUCAAGCCCUGGCUAUCUUAUCUUUCUCCAUUCUGUUGUCUGAUCACGUUUCCUCCCAAGUGGUCACGCACUGCCUCAGCUCUUCAAUGGUGCUCUUUGUGCUUUAGAAUGCCAUUUCCUACUACUAAACUCAGGCUGCAAGAUGCUACUUUACCCAUGCAGUUCUAUCAAAGUAGCACUGAUGGGACUAGCUCCCUCUACUCUCUAUUCCCUGACAACUGCUUUGUUCUUGGUGGGCUGCCUCUGUUAGAGACAGUAAGCAGGUAAGCUAUGCUAAUCGGGGGUCCUUUAUACUUCCAGUAACCUGCAAACAUUUAAAUUGCUUUUAGGAUCAAACUUUAAAAUGAAGAAGACCCAAGAUGAUUACACUCAUCGUUAUAAUUUAUCGGCACAAGUCUUAAAAUUAAAGUAUGACUAAUAUAAAUUAUAUAUUUGUAUAUAAACAAUAUAUAUUCCAAUUACAACUACAUAUUUUAACAAAGGCAUCAUGAAGGUCGUAAUUAUUCCAUAAUUAUUUAUAAAUUGGUCAAAAAUGUGAUCCCCAGUUCCCUAAUCAAAAAAAUUCUUAAAUGAUUUUUAAUUAAAAUGUCUGAGGUGGGCAAAACAUUUUUCUAUAUGUUGCCUUACUUUACCAUUGAAGUACCUAUCACAGAUGACCUAUGUCAUGGCCAUGGGCGAUUCACAGGAACUUACAAGAGGUCAGACAGUGUGUCUUUGUCUUAUAGUGUCACCUAUAAUAGUCUUGCACACGGUAAGAACUCGAUACAUACUGGCUGAUCCGAAAUUCUUGAUGAUUUUCUCAUGAAAACGAUUUAUAAAACUCAAAGGGAUUAGCAGAGGCCUGACUGAAAUGGUCGCUCUGGUGCCUGUUUCAUCCAUGUGUUAAGAUGCUGCCAAGCCACACUCAUAAUCCUCGGAGAAACAGAAUCCCUGGUAGAGCCUAGCUAUCCCAAUUGGUAAGCCGAGAUCCAUUAUUAUUUUACUUAGAAAUUUUCCUUUAUGUACAGCUUGACAAAAACCUCGUUACUGGGUGCUGAGAAAACCUGUUUGGGUACAAGGGCAGCAGCUAAGCUUCGGUUUUCACCUGGUCUUUUACAUGCAUUGCUCACUUCUCUAGGGAACACCUGCAUCUUGUUGAGGAUUGCAUCCACAACCCAGAAUAAGACCGCUAGAAUCACUAUGUUUAAAUGUCGUGCUCCAAGAUCUCCAAGUUAGUUAGGGGCUCAGCACUUCAUUGAUGCUCCUGAACAACUGCACUUGCUAGUCAAACAGAUUACUUUUUUCUUUUGCAGAUACCAGAAAAUAAUUUGUGAUGUCUACUCCUCAAGUUUAAAAUGACAAUACAUCCUAUUGUCCCAUAUGCUUGUCUUUUUUUUUUUUUUCCAGCCUGCUUGGUCACCGGGACACAACUGUAUAGCCUAACAGAGAACACUUCCCCCCAGAGCCAUGGCACAAGGGUCCUUCUUCCUAUCUGAGGACUUGCUGUGGCCACGAGCCCCACCACUUUUAUGGCCAGUGACCUGGCUACUUUUAUAUUACCUUGACACAGGCUAAAAGAUCAGAGAAGAGGGAGCCUCCAUUGCAAACAUGCCUCCAUAAGACUCAGUUAUAGGCAAGCAUGUAGAGCAUCUUCUGGAUUACUGAUGGAUGGGGGUGAGCAGCCCAUUGUGGGUGGUGCCUCCCCAGGGCUGGUGGUCCUAAGUUCUACAGGCUGAGCAAGUCAAUAAGCAGCACCCUUCCAUGACAUCUGCAUCAGCUCCUGCCUCUGAGUUCCCGCCCAUCAGGAUUUCCUGCCCUGACUUCCUUUGAUGAUGGGCUGUGAUGUAGAAGCAUAAGUUAAAAUAAACCCUUUCUUCCCCAAAUUUGUUUUGGUCAUGGUGCUUCCCCUCAACAAUGGGAACCCUUAUCUGUUAUACUAAUCUCAAAGCCAUUCCCAGUUCCUCUGGAAAACCAAAUAUUUUAUACUGGUUUAUUUUUACCAGGCCACUGUGUCUGAGGAGUCAGGAGGUAGCAGCUAAGUGUGGUCCUGUUGGUUUGUACUUAGCAAAAUGCUUUGUGCCUUCAGAGACAGUCUUCAACUCAAUCACAUGAGGAAACCUAUGCCAAUUUUGUAUAUGAAUCCUGCUUAUAAAGUCAACAAGAGCAUAGAAAACAACGAUGCUGGCCACGAGGGAGCAUGGCUUCAGAAGAGCCAAAUUUACUAAGGUCUAUUCUUUAUAGACUUUUAAAAGUGUGUGUGUGUGUGUGUGUGUGUUUGGGGGGUGCUUUGCAUGCCUGUAUAUCUGUGUACCAUAAACACGUAGUAUUUUCCUGAGGCUAGAAAAGGGCACCGAGUCCCUGGAACUGACUUUAUAGAUGGUUGUAAGCUGCCAUAUGGGUGCUAGGAAUUGAACCUAGGACUUUUAGAAGAACGUCCAGUACUCUUAACCACUGAGCCAUCCCCAAGAAUAUGUUUUGUUUUCUUCUGAAUAUUUUUAAAACAAAAUAAUGGAGACAAUUUCCUCCUGGAAAUUCAGCUACAGGGAUCUCUUACCUGAAUUGGUAAGAAUUACCUGAAUUGAAAGGGUUCUACCUCAGGGGUGGAAGAUAAACUUUAUAAAAACAAACAAACAAACAAAAAACAUUUUUUCUGACCAAUUCUUAUUCCAAUAAGAACUAUUUCCUGUGACUUGAUACUGUCUCCUUGCAUAUAUUCUUUGUGGUAGCUCUGGAAUAGACAUGGGGUUGGGUUUCACAGGAUCAACACACUGUUGGCUUUGUUGAAUUAGCUUAGCUCAACAGCAACUGCAGCUAAGAAACGAAACUCAGGAGGAGCCCAGCUCCUGGCCUUGCAAAUUCUUCUCCUGUGUAAAAGUCCUGGCCACACAACUUUUAGUUGACUUUCCUCCACUUCCAAAACUCACCUCAACUAAUGUUAAUGCCUUAACAGGGAGCUCAGUGUGUGGCUAGAGUCAUUACCUAGCACGUAUGAAGUCCUGCCAGCUGUCAGCUGACUGUCCACUCUGUAAAGACAAAGUAGAUAGAUAUGAUGGUAGAUGGCUCUAAUGUUCGUGUAACAACAUGGACAGUGUCACUGGGAAUAAUUAGAAAUUUGAUUUUUUUUAAAUUAAUGACCUUGGAAGGGUCACAUAAUUGCUUCAGAAAGUUCACUGACAUAUUGCAAGAAUGCCUCGAGGUUUUCCUGGCAAGACAAUAAGGCAGAAGAUAAUGAAAACACACAAGGGCUGAUGGGCUGUAGCAUAAGAUGAUCAUGCACCUCCAAACAUUUAAACACAGGUAUAAUCUUCAGGUGUUUGCAUAGCAGAACAGCUAUAAAUAGCCCAUAGAAUCAGGCUGUUAGACUGAAAGUGCCUUCAAGAAAGAACUCAAACUAUUGGUGACUGUUUCUUCAUCAAAAAAAAAAAACAAAAACAAAAACAAAAACAAAAACAAAAAAAAAACCGCAUAUAAACAGUAAGUAGCUUACAGAGACCCUUCGAUAAAUUACAUGAGAUAAUAAAUUGAAUUUUGAAUCAGUGCCUGGCAUAUGGCAACUGUGGCUUUUCCAUCACUGUGACAAAAACACCUGAAAUGAUCAGUUUAUAAAGAGGAAAAAUUAUUUUGGCUCAGUGGGUCAGUGCAUAGAUACCUAGGCCUAUAGAGGUGUAGUACAUUGUAGAUAUUAGUGUGUGGUAGAGUGGCCCUGCUGAUCUCUUUGCCAACAUGCAAAGAGAUGGAGAAGAAAGAACUGGGGACCCAACAUCUGAUCUCACACACACACACACACACACACACACACACACACACACACACACACAUGAGAUACUACUUUCUAAAGUUUCCACUGCCUUCCGGUACCAGCAUCAGUACAGACUGAGUCUUUGGGGGACACAGGGUCAUACAGUGAUUUACCAUUACUAGCAAUAAUCAUUUUCCAACCUAUCCCACGAAUGUUUGCAGAGCACAUUCUAAGUCCCUAAUUACAUGCUCCAGCUGCAGAAUAUGGUGCAAUCAAUGCAUACUCACAGAAUUGGUAGACCAUAGCAAUUGGUAUUGGUGGCAAUACCAAUUUGAAAAAAAAAUAAAUAAAAUUUUUAUAAGGGCAUAUCUUUGCAUCUUUCUUAUUCACAGAUUGUCUCAAAAAUAUUAUGCUAAGCUUUGCUUGUUUUUCAACUGCUUUUUCUAAAUCUCUCUCUCUCUCUCUCUCUCUCUCUCUCUCUGUGUGUGUGUGUGUGUGUGUGUGUGUGUGUGUGUGUGUGUGUGUGUGUAUGCAUGCAUGCGCCCUCAGAAGCCCGAGAGUGCAUCUAAACCCUUGAAGCUGGAUUUACAGGUAGUAGCGCGUGACUGGUGCAGGCACUGUGAGGUGACCUUGAAUCCUCUGGAAAACAACACAAGUGUUCUUAUUCAGUGAGCCAUUAUCUCUCCACCCCUUCCAGAAUCUUCUUGGUACACACACAUGCCACGAUAAGAUUACACAGAGGCCCUUAAGCUACACAGAUAAUGAAGAGAUAAUGAACAGUGUGGUCAAACUAUAGAUUACCUUCUGGGUUGAUCAGCAAAAAGUCACAGCUGUGUGUGACAGGGCCUCUGACAAUCAAAUCCUCACACCUAGAGCCUGGGAGCAGAAAUACCAAGACUGGACAGAAGUAUGAUUAAUAUGUUCUUGAAUACAUUUUUGCUGUGUCCAAAAAGGCAGCACAUCCAAGAAUCUGGUAUUAUUUAAGUCAUGUCAUACGCCCAUGUAGCUGCUAAACGUUCAAGCAAUUGUGCAAGAACUCAUCUUGGGGGUUGACUUUCUGGUUGACAUAAUGAAAUUCUUAUGAAUAUUUGAAAUGGAGACUAAUGCAUAGAAGUGCAUUUUUAAGCAUCAGAUCGGCAUCGUGGACUGAGUCGUGGAUGCUCUCAGAAGCCACAGUGAGGGGUUUCUGGGAGUGGAGGAGUGACUAUAAAGCAGGGCCAUUGGUGGUUGUCAGAACAUGGUCAAAGGAAUGGCGCAUGGUGGACAGCGCCUUUGGGGAAACUGUGAGCGAGGCUCCAGGAAAAAAGGUGGAGGGCUUUUACCCCAUCUGCAUUUUGUUUCCUGGAUGGUUCUUGGAUGUGAUUUCUUGCCUCCUGCAACAAUUAUUUGCAUUUAGUUUAUAGGACAUUUUUUUUUCUUGCUGGAUGUCAGAGCACAGUUAUAGAACCCAGUCUGGUUCUGGUGGUUCUGAGAGUGCUGGGCUCAGCAUAUGCUGCAACUGGAUAUGGCCUUCAGCCCUGCUUUCAUGCUUCCCUGGAUAUAAUUUAUAGGACUUGCCAGGCACUGAGAAGGUUCUGGAAAGGGCUGCUCUGUUAACAUGUGUUUAUUUACAUGCUUUUUAAAAUUUUUUUUCUGAUCAUGUUUUUCUAAACUCAACCUGAGAUCACUGCUUUCUUUGUUACAUUUGUGUAUAAAAGUACACUGAAACGGAAGUAAGACUGCCUACAAGAUUACUUACUGCAGCCUGCCUUAUUCUUUAAGGUCUUCAAAUCUCAGGGCUCACAGACAGAUCUGUACAGAUCGGGAAAGUCAACAGAGGGUGUGGACCAAAAGAUGGAAAAUUCAACGAUCUGAAAAGUUGGUCCAAAAGUUUGCCUUGCCUGGCUUGCUCCAUUAUUCUCUCUACCUUUUGACCUAUCCCUCACUCUCUCUAACCACAUGCUACUUCUGAAGCUCCUAAAUCCUGCCUGAAUUACAAGACAGUUUUCUUUGUUCUCAUUUCAAUUGCCAUAAAUGUAGCAAAAAAAAAAAAAAAUCCUGUGUUCCUUCUUCCCACUUGAGUGUUUGGACAGAUGGGGAUGAGAACGAUUGUAGAGGCUUCCAUUCAUGCAGCCAAAGGUUGUGAUUUCCUUCUUAACGUGAGUCACUGGUAAGUUGUUUUGCUCAACUGGAUUAAAUCAUUUUCCGUGUAGUCAUCACUGGGAGGGAGGUGCAGAGAGAAUAGGGAGUCUGUUCUCAGUUCUUCAAGAGAAAGGAUACAUUUUCAAAUGCUUCCCUGGAGCCCAGGGUUUUUCUGUGUUUUGAUGUCUUUGUUCUCAGUGCUAAGGACUGUACACAGGGUUCAGCACACUCUAGACAAGUCCUCUAUCACUUAUCCAUGUCCCUAGCUCUGCAAUUCUGAAUAAUGGAGACAUCUAACUCUACCGUCUUACUUGGUUGUAUUUGUUUAUUUCAUUGUAAAACAAUUUUAUUUUUAUAGGAAAAAGCAUGCCUGUUUGACCUUUAGAAGUGAACCUUCUCUUUGAAACAAAGAUACUAAUUGUAUCUAGCAUCUGAGAGACACAAGAUACUAAAUUCUACUCCUAAGAAAAGGAAUAACACACACACACAACACACACACACACACACACACACACACACACACACACACACACACACACACGCUGUAGCUGUCUUCAGACACACCAGAAAAGGGCAUCAGAUCUUAUUACAGGUGUUUUCGUGCCACCAUGUAGUUGCUGGGAUUUGAACUCAGGACCCCUGGAAGACCAGUCAGUGCUCUUCACCACUGAGCCAUCUCUCCAGCCUGGAAUAACAUAUUUUUAAAUUUUGUGUUUAUAAAUACUUUGCUAGCAUGUAUGUGCCUAUGCAUGCAGCACGGUAGAGGACAAAGAUGGUGUCAGAUCCACAGGAACUGACAUUAUAGGUGAUUGUUGUCAGCCUCUCCAUGGGUGCUGGGAACCAAACCUGGGUCCUCUGCAAAAGUAGCAGUGUUCAUAACUGCUGAGCCAUCCCUCCAGCCCUCUUAUUUCAUUUGUACCAGGGCUACAAUUACUUCUGAACUCUAACAUUUAUGUGUGUCAAUGCUGUGGCAUCCACUUAAACCAAAUCCUUACAAAAGGGAAAAAGAAGCAUUUUAAAACACAAACACAAACACACACACACACACACACACACACACACACACUCACAAGUUUUGAUCAUAUCCAUGCCCACUCUGCCUUCCAACUCCUCCAAGACCCCCCUUCCAACUUCAUGAUGUAUUGUUGUUUAACAUGGAGUCAACUUAAUACCAAAAGCAGCAUCUUAACUUCUGUAGUACCCUUGGAGAGAAAUUUCCCUACAGCUCAUGGGAAAGCUAGAAAACACUGUGUGAACUAGGGCUGUGUCAAGGGAACUCAUAAUCAGUGAUAUGCAUGUAUGUGUGUCACUUGAAGUGAAAAGAGCCAUAAAAUAUUAGCACGGUGUUUAAGUCUCCAGGGCAGGGAGGUAGGUACUCAUGCCACAGUGGCAAACGCACAAACAUUUGCGCAAAAGUCCUCUGAUAGCCACGGGGACAAUCGUUCAGUGUGGCUUGCCUUAUCUCUCCAGCUCCAUCGCAGCCUUUCUGCUUCUAAAAGUUUCUAGUUCCUCUCCCCUCUGAGUCUUUCUGCCCACGUGCCUCUCCGAUCUCUCUCUCUUUCUAAUUAAUAUCUCCAUAACCUUCAAGCAAAGCUCAAAUGUGCUUUCGUCAGAGAUGCCUCUUUGAAGCACCUCCUCAAAAUAGGCCAAGUCCUCUGGACUUAAAUCUCUACACAGCCUUCAGUACUUCCCCCCUUGGUAGAUAUUAUAGACCAACUCACAUGCAUUUGACUUCUGUGAGUCCCUGUUCUAAUGCUAUGAGGAGACACCAUGACCACUACGACUCCUAUAAUAGAAAGCAUUUAACUGGGGGCUGGCUUACAGUUUCAGGGGGUUAGCCCAUCGUCACCAUGGCAGGGAGCAUGGAGGCAUACAGGCAGCCACUGAGCAGUAGCUAAGAGCUACAUUCUGAUCUGUGGGCAGAGAGAAUGAGUCCGGGGCUGCCGAGGGCUUCUGAAAGUUCAAACUCACCCCCAGUGACAUACCUCCUCCAACAAGGCCACGCCUCCUAAUCCUUCUAAUCCUUCUCAAAAUGCCAAUCAUGGUUGACUAAGCAUUCAAAAAUAUAUGAGUCUAUGGAGACCAUUUACAUUCAAACAUUCUAGAUUCUCCUCAGUUAUUGUCAGCCUUCAGGAACUCAGAGCAUAAUGGCUCCACAGGCUUUGCCGGAACAUAAAGUCUGAAUAGAUCUACUGAGCUGGGUAUUCAAAAUAACUUCCACGUUUUUUUAAAAGGGGAGGGGGCUCAGGCUUUCAAGCAUACACAGCCCCAUGUACCUGUUCCUCUCCACACAGAAAAGCAAAACCCAACAACAGUUACUGGGCUGAGUAGUACAGGACAAAGCUAUUUGCCUUGCUGUGUAGAGGCACUAAUGAUGCUACUUCCUAGGGCUAAGCACACUGAUCAAAACAGCCGGGACUAGUAACUGUGCCUUGUCUACUCUAUGCUCUGAAUUGCAGUCCGUUCUGUUCAUUCUUUCACUCCGAAGCACUCAUUGGAUGCCAGUUUUCGGUGUUUUGAGUUUUUUGCAAAAGUACUGUCAAAUGCUGUGAAGAACAGGACACGGCUAAUAAGAGCUCUUAUUUGCAGAGGGUGUACCAUGUUCCAGGACUAUAAAUUGUCAAGUGGUGAUUUUCAAUCAGCGCUCCAAGUUAAAUUGCCCUUUCAUAAAAACCAAAGCCUCCGCCACACUGUGGAAUUAGAGGACUAAGUGGCCUUUGUGAUCUACAUUAUGCCUUUUACUUAAGUCAACGGCAUAGAGAGCUGUGUGCGAGGUUUCAGGUCUAAUUAAAAGUCUACUUUUUCAAGGGUCUUAAUUAUAUACCGGGACAUGAGACCAGCAAGAGCUCCCCUUGCCAAAUGCGGUGUUACUCAGUAUCUACUCUGCAAAAUCCCAGAAUUCUCAUUCAAAUCCUUUGGAAGACAGGGUUUUCCAUUUUGCCAAAAUCCAUUUGACUGGUAUGUAAAGUCAACUUUUCCAAUCAUGUUAAACCAUGGUAAAAACAAAAGAACAACAAAAAAGCCUAACAUUGUUUACCCAGCAUAUCCUCAUCAGAGUGCCUACCAGAUUCAAGUAUGGUCUACACAAAAGUAUGAAAGCCAAGGACUCAUCUCAAGGUUAGACUAUGGGGAAGAUUCCUGAACUCAAAGAAAGGCCAUAAAAGAUUCUAAGCAAAAAAGUAGAGCAUUCAAAAAAUGUCAGGGGUCUGCCUUGCCUGUGCUGAAAGUUAGGAGUGCCGUCAGCAAGGACCUCAUUAAGGAAGUGAGGGUUAAAUUAUCAGAUUUUUUUUUUUUUUGGUUUGAGAUAGAGUUUCAGGUAGACCAGGCUAGUCUCUAACUCAUGAUGUAGUUGAGACUGAGGCUGGCUUUGAACUUCUUCUCGCCCUCCUGCCCCCAUCUCCUGCUUGCUGGGAUUAUAGGUGUAUCUAGCCAGGCUCAGUUCAAGUCCUCGAAGGAACAUUCUUACAGAAGAUGGGAGGUGAAAGGGGUAUGAACAAAGACACGAAGCAUACAAUAUGGAAGCCUAGGUGAUCAAUAAGGCCAGAUGUAACCCACAGUGAGGCAACUGGGAACCAUGAAACUGUGUUUUCGAAAAUAAAUUGGUUUUCAGAAUUUGUGGAUAAAAUGUUCAUAGAAAAACUGUUGACAGUAGCCAAAGGGCAUAAAUAUCCCAAAUGUGCCUCCGCUGAAGAACAGAUUUUUUUUUUAAAUAUGGCAUAAUCAAACAACAAAAGAGUAUUGAGCUGUAAAAAGGAAUGGGUUUGGACAUACACCAUGACACAAUAAGCUUCGAAACAGUACAGGUAAAUAAAGCCCUACAUAAAUGGUAGUCCAUUAUCUGUGUCCCUUUCUUAACAAAAUCCAGCACAUACAAGUCUAUGUAUACAGGAGGCAAGUUGGUGGAUCUAGUGGAAUGAGGGGAGUAAGUUUGGUGCAGAUGCUCAAUGGGUCAUGAGUUUCCUGUGGGGGAGUGAACAACUCCAGGGCUAAACACAGCUGACGAUAGUGCUAAAUGUCCAAUGCUCUGAAUACAAGGGACAAACCGAAUCAUAUUCUUGAAACUGUGCGGUGUAUGCUGUACAAUUUAAAAAAAAGAAAAUACAAAGUUUAAAGUAAAAUCAUGGAGGUUAAUAAAAACCAAUCUAACAACACAAAGGGUUAAAACUACUCCUGAAAUAAUCAACUUUCCAGUCCUCUACUAUAAAAUAAAGUGUUUACUUUAGUUUUAAUAUUUAGUUCAGAAGUUCAAUAUAUGUAUUUGUAUAUGUAUAUACUUGUUCAAAAGUGAAGAAAGGCUUCUAAAAUAAGAGUAGCAUCCUAUGCAUGGGGAUUUAGUCACUACCUGGUAAUGAAAUAGUGAAUAUUUGGAUUAUAAUAUUCCCCAGAAAUCCUUGUCACACGAAAGAAAACAGAACAAGGUUCUAAAACAACUGACAUUAAUUGUUCUAAUACCUGAAAUUGAGUAGGACCUCAAUUUUCUUUUAAGAUUUAUUUAUUUUAUUUAUAGAAGUACACUGUAGCUAUCUUCAAACACACCAGAAGAGGGCAUCAGAUCCCAUUACAGAUGGUUGUGAGCCACCAUGUGGCUGCUAGGAAUUGAACUCAGGACCUCUGGAAAACCGAUCAGUGCUCUUAACUGCUGAGCCAUCUCUCCAGCCCCCUCAAAUUUAUUUUGUUAAACAUUGGGAAAUGUUCAAAAAGUAGACGUAGUAGUACGCGUCUAGUGUGUUGUUCCGGUUUGCUUUUUGUUGCUGUGAUAAACAUGACAAAGAGCAAGUGGGAGAAGGAGGGGCUUUGCUGCACCAGCUCCAGUGGAGCCUGUCUGACACGAAACAACCGUGGACAGCAGGCCAGAGAUAUGUGUUCCUCAGAACCUGGUCUCCUGGAGACACUUGGCCACUCCUCCUUGACUUUCUGCCUAGCUGAUUGAGUUACAUAUUUGCUCUUUUGUUUCUUUUUCUACUAACAGGAACAUAGUUACAUGGAAGAAAACAUUAUUUUAUUAGAGGAAGGUGGUGGGCCCCUCCUUUAGGUAAAAACAGCAUUUUUUUUUUUUACCUAAAAAACUACUGCAGAGCCAUUGCCCUACACAGGGACAUAUGAUGAAGAAGGUGAUAGAUGGGUUAAUAUUGAUGGAAAGAGAGUACUAUAUUAUUCUUUAAAUUUUAUAGAACGUUUGGCCAGAUCAGGUUCCCGUGCUUGCCUAUUAUCAAAAGGAACUAUCCUAUCUUUAAAAAGACAAUUACAUAAAUUUUGGCUAAGAGAGAGUAAAAGACUAAGGAUUCCUUACAGCUGGCUGUCCUGUUGUUAUCCGAGAGAUGAUGUUUAGAGAUCAAGAUAAAUGAGGUUUAUGAUCACUGUCUGGCACCAGUCUGAUUCUCAGGAAAGUUUAUUUCCUGUUUUACUUUCUAUUCUGAACUUCAUGUAAACUGUUAAACUUUUUUCUUGGUUAUUGUUUGAGUGUGCCCUGGCGGGGGGCCGAAAAAUUAGCUCCUGUUCAAGCAUUGUAUAUAGCCACAAAGCAGAUUUCGGUAAAAUCGCAGCAGAUUCAAACCACCCUAGUGUGUUGUGUCUGUCUGUCAUCGCACCAAACCUGUGCCUUCCUGAGUACCAGAGCCCUGCUUCUCAGGCGGUGUCCUCCGUCUGAGUGGUCCAUGGCAAUAGUCCAUCAAGAGAAGCCAGCAUAGGAACUCAAGGCAAGGACAUGAAGGCAGAACCUGAUGCAGGAACCAUGGAGGAACCCUGUGCAUACCUGCUUGCUUUCCUCGUCUUAACUACUUUUUUUAGACAGUCCAGGCCUACUUGCCCAGGAAUGAUACUGCACAUAGAGGGCUGGGUCCACCCACAUCAACCAGCAAUCAAAAAAAAAAAAAAAAAGCCACUUAGACUGAACCACCAACCAAAGAGCGUACAAGGGCUGGACCUAGGACCCCUACACAUUUGUAGCAAAUGUGCAGCUUGGUCUUCAUGUGGCUCCCCUAACAACCGGAUCUGGGGCUGUCUCUGAUUCUGUUGCCUGCCAUGGGAUCCUUUCCCCCAAACUGGACUGCCUGGCUGGGCCUCAGUGGGAGAGGAUGCACUUAAUCCUGCCACAACAGGAUGUGUCAGGGCAGGAUUGCACCCAAGAGGAGUAAGGUGAUGGGGGUAGGAGUAUGUGAGGGUAGGACUAGGAGGAAAGGAGAGGUAGGAGGGGGUGCAAUUGGGACGUAAAGUGAGUAAAUUAAUUAAGGUUGCAGUUGUGAGAAGGGUGAGGAUAUUUUGAUACAUCCAGAUGUUACUUAGAUUUGAUGGGCUAUGGGAACUGAUAGAUAGGAAUAUCCUUACCGACAAGAAAUGGAAACACUGCUGAAGGAAGAGUCCAAGAACGAGGUAUCACAGUUCCAAGGGGAAGGAACAAAGAAGGGAUGACAGGUCAGAGAUCUUAGACACCACUGCGGAAUAAAUGAUGGGUCUCCCUGUCUGGAAAUCAUAGGUAUAGGAUCAAGGAGGCAGAAUGGAAAGGAAAAGUUAAUGUUUCAGUUGCUGAAAUAUACGUAGGGUCGUGUGUGUGUGUGUGUGUGUGUGUGUGUGUGUGUGUGUGUGCUCUGUCUGUAUGAAUAUUCAUGUUUAUGAGUGAGUAUAUACACACACGCCAUGAUGCAGGGAGGGUUGUAGAGGUCAGAAGAUGACCUGAGGUAUUCCUGCCUUUGGCCUUGAGAUGGGGUCUCUUGUUUUUCUGCUGCUUACAGUAGAUUAGCAACCCCAAUGUCCAUUCUCCUGGGAGGGACUUGCUGGUCUUACUGGUUGUGAGGCUCAUGUUUUAACAGGUGAUCUCUAUCCCGGUCCUGAAGGAGGGCAGGUGUCAUUUAAUCAGACUCAGAAAGUUGUGGAUGCUGAAGAGAAAACAGAUUUGGAUUCAAACCCCAACAUUGCUCUGUAUCUCACUGAGAAAGCCACACCACUUCUCUGGGCUUUCUGUUACUUGCCAUUGUAGUCACAAAUGGUGUUAUUUUGAAGUCUAAUUUUCAUUGAAGAAAAUUAAUUCAUUAAAAAUUUUAUUUAAAAAUUGUCUUGAGUUUUCAUAGAAAAAUCUAUAUUGUUUUGAAGCUGGAACAUAUUGCUCCUGAGGAAUUGGUUAAGAACCUAGUUCUUUGGUAUACCAAGCAUGUAUAAACAGCAGGCACUCAAUUUCUGUAGAAUAAACCAGUAAAAGUAUGAUAUAUUAGAGGGAGCAAAAUCAGAAAAGCAAACCUUAAUUCUUGCAUUUUAUCAUAAAACAAAAUCUUCUUUAAAAUAACAUCAUUUACAAAGCAGAAUGAAUUUAAUCAUCAUCACGGCUUCUGAACAUUUAUAUUUUGUUCAAUAAAAAUCACUCCUGAGACCAUAUUGAAUUAUAUCCAAUAGUGUUCUUACUAAGGCAUGUAAGAAAGACAAAUUGUAUAACAGUUGCUACAGUUUUUCAGAAGACUGGAGAAAUAUCUACUGAAUACCUAUACUAUUUGAAAGAGCCUGUGUUGGCUAGGAAGUUUCACAUAUUUUCUCCUUCUUUACAGAUGCAGCAUGAACAUAAACUUACGAUUUGAAUGAGAAUGGACACAAAUCAGAUAGAGCUAAUGCAUAUGAGUUUUCUAUAAUAAAAAAAGACAAUAAAGUACAUCGAAUGGAGGAAGAAAAAAACAAUAAAAAGUUUUGUGGUGGUGAUGAAUUGAACCUUGACCUUUGAGCACACAAGAAAGGGAGACAAACAUCUCAGAACUGACACACCUUCAAUCUUAGUCCACAUCUCCUGCUGGUUUUACAGCACUGUGAAUGUGGUUAUUCAAAGAGAGUUGGCAGAGUCCUGAGGUAGUGCAGAGCACCAUAGAGUGAGACUGGGUGUGUGUGUGUGUGUGUGUGUGUGUGUGUGUGUGUGUGUGUGUGUAUUCUUGUCUUUCACUUAUAAAAACACCAAUUUUACAAUGGGAAGUAAACUCUAAGGAUCUUACCCAAUCUGAUUCACAUAUCAAGGACCACACCUUCUAAACCUUAUCCUCGAAUCAAGUGUCUGCCCUCUUAGUACCUCACAAUGAGCAUUAAACUUCAAAACAUAACCCUCAGUUGUGGAGGCCAAGAUACAUAAGGAAAUUUGUUCCAGAUAAGUGAAAGAGCUGAGAGUUAAAUUCACAAUCUGGCUUCAGAAGUCAUCUCGUAAUUACUAAGAAAAUACUUAUUUGAAGCACAUGCAAAACUGGGCUGACAAGGAAACUGUUAUCCAGUUGCGAAAUGGUGACCAGAGGAACUUUGGAGAAACUAAAACCAAGGUUUAAAAUAGUAAUAUUCUAUCUCAUGCCAGUCAGAAUGGCUAAGAUCAAAAAACUCAGGUGACAGAAGAUGCUGGUGAGGAUGUGGAGAAACAGGAAGACUCCUCUAUUGUUGGUGGGAUUGCAAGCUGGUACAACCUCUCUAGAAAUCAGUCUGGAAGUUCCUCAGAAAAUUGGACAUGAGAACCCAGCUAUACCACUCCUGGGCAUAUACCCAAAAGAUGCUCCAACAUAUAACAAAGACACAUGCUCCACUAUAUUCAUAGCAGCCUUAUUCAUAAUAGCCAGAAUCUGGAAAGAACCCAGAUGCCCUCCAACAAAGGAAUGGAUACAGAAAAUGUGGUACAUCUACACAAUGGAGUACCACUCAGCUAUCAAAAACAAUGACAUCAUGAAAUUCAUAGGCAAAUGGAUGGAACUAGAAAAUAUCACCCUGAGUGAGGUAACCCAAUCACAGAAAAGCACACAUGGUAUGUACUCACUGAUAAAUGGAUAUUAGCCCAGAAGCUUGGAAUACCCAAGAUACAAUUCACAGACCACAUGAAGCUCAAGAAGGAGGACAACCAAAGAGCAGAUGCUUCAGUUCACCUUAAAAGGGGGAACAAAAAUACACAUCGGAGGGGAUAUUGAGACAAAGUUUGGAGCAGAGGCUGAAGGAAUGGCCAUUCAGAACCUGCCCCAUCUGGGGAUGUGUGUGUGUGUGUGUGUGUGUGUGUGUGUGUGUGUGUGUGUGUGUGUACACGUCCACCAAAACUAGACAAUAUUGAUGAAGGCAAGAUGUGAAUGCUGACAGGAGCCUGAUAUAGCUGUCUCCUCAGAGGCUCUGCCAAAGUAUGACAAAUACAGAGGCAAAUGCUAGCAGCAAACCAUUGAACUGAGAAUGGAGUCCCCGUUGGAGGAGUUAGAGAAAGGAUUGAAGGAGCUGAAGUGGCUUGUAACCCCAUAAGAACAACAAUACCAACCAACCAGAGCUCCCAGGGACUAAACCACCAUCCAAAGAGUACACAUGGACAGACCCACGGCUCCAGCUGCGUAUAUAGCAGAGGAUGGCCUUGUUGGGCACCAAUGGGAGGAGAAGUCCUUGGUCCUGCCAAGGCUGGACCCCUCCCCAAUGUAGGGGAACAUCAGGGUAGGGAGGGAGGAAGGUCGGUUGUUGGGGAGAGGGACCAUCCUUAUAGAAAAAGGGGAGAGGGAUGGGAUAGGGGGCUUAUGGACAGGAAACCAGGAAAGGGAAUAACAUUUGAAAUGUAAAUAAAAAUAUCUAAUAAAAACAAAGAAAAAAAUCAAAAGAUUUCAAUGUGACACAGGUGCAAUGGAAACUGGGAUGCAAGAAAAAGAGGGCUAUUCUAGACAGAGACACAAAUCAUGGGAGCAUAGAAGGGCCUAGUGUCAUGGAAUUGUUCCUCGGCUUAUGCCUGCUUCAUGGUGUGAACGAGUCAUAGUCAAUCUAUUCCAUUUGACAGAGAAAUGGCAUUGGAAAAACACAUUAGAAAGACUGUCAUGUCUAAAAUUCCUUCUAAGAGACAUUCGGACUUUACAGUCAAUAGUGCGCCACCAAUGGCUGCAGAAGAACUACCCAUGAUCCAAGAAAAUGGCGGUCAGUCCUGUGGAGGAAACACUAGGGAGAGAGACAAGAGGCUUCAAUAAUAUCUCAGUCAAGAGACAAGGGACAUUUUGGAGAACAACAGUGGAAAUGAAUAUGAAUGAACAUUCCUAGGCAGUGUGGCUGGGCAUGGCUGGGUGGGAGUGCCUGAAAAGACAUUGAUAGUUGGGAAGAAUUAGAGCCAGUCAGAAGACAGUGGGGAAAACAGCUAUCAAUCCUUGGGAAGGAAUGAAAUUGCAUCCUUAGCAGAAUUAAUUUCACCUUCCUUUACUAACCCAUAACAGCCCCCAAGGCUAAAUACUAGAGAUGUGAACAUUCUAGAAAUGGGGUCACCUUAGUUUCCAUCUUCGAUUUAACAUCGCUUCUCUUUUGCCUGUCAUCCUAAACCUUCAGGGAGACUAUACUUAGAUAGUUAAGAUAUUAAUUAUUGAAUGACCUCUCCCUAACCCUAAGAACAUCCAAUGAGCCCUGAAAUGCCUCUCUGGGUAGAGACCUGACGUUGUAAACUGGCCCCAAAUAUUAUAAACUAUUUGGAUCAACUGGAUUAGAUGAUGGCUUGGGCACAGUAGAACAUUAUACUUGACCAUCCCCUCCUUUAAGAGAUUAACCCAACUGAAUCUGGCAAUUACCUAGAUGGGACACCACCUGUUAGGAAAGCUGAUGUACCUUGAAGACCAACAAAAGGAAUGGGAGGAAUAAUUGAUAAGAUAAUAUACAUUUCAAGAGCCCCUCUCUCAUGCUAUUGCUUAUAGAUCACUGUUAGGUCUGCCUAAUUUCUGGGUUCUAACUCAAAAGGCAUAACUUUUCCCUUCAUCUUUCUAUCUCUUUUGAUACAAGCCAAGAUCCUAAGCACACUUGCCCCGGCACACAAGAUGUUCUCACUCUUUGGAGACACUCAUCCCACCCUACUUCAGUAUGGCUGCUUGCUGAUCUCCAUCGCUGAGUCUUAGACCCUAACCUGAAAGGUACCAUGGUCUCUUUUUCUCUAGCUCCCAGCAGCUGCUGAGAUUUAUAGGUUUACUACUCUGUUUCUCUCAAACUCUAAGAUAGUUUUUUUUAAAAAUGAUCCUUGAGCUCCCUUCAGAAUCCAAUGCUUUUAAUUUCCUUUAUCAUUGAGACUAAGAAGUCACAAAAUGAAACCAUGACUCCAGGGCUACAAACUUUCUAUGACUGGCUACUAUCAUAGUGUAUCCUCAAGCCCAGUACAUUAGAGGCUAAUCAAAAUCAGUGUGUGUGAAUAAAAAGGUAGUCAUGGCUCUUGAGUGAAUAACCAAAUUUUUGCCACACUUUGUGUGUGUGAAUAUGCUUCGUGUGUGUGUGUGUGUGUGUGUGUGUGUGUGUGUGUG